rnacentral:rRNA from 1 species
AUGCCCUCCGUUUUCUUGACGCUCGUGUCUGCGUGCUUGCUGUACCACCGCCCACUUUGCGGCUCCAGCGCCAGCCUGGGACAUCUCUCCAUCUGGGCCGGCAUAUCGGGACGCUGCAGGGAUGCCAUCACCUCGAGAAGGGGCGAGGAGUCCACUCCAUCGUAUGCCCAGUUGAUGUCCCCGGGUACUCACUAUGGCACGAAGAGCCCCUCAACGUUAUCCUCUUCGACCGGCAUCACCACGACGGGUCAGAUGUGCCACGCACAGGACACAGGGAGACAAGGGCAGGAGCGGCAGCAGGCGGCGGUGGAGCACGCAGCAAGGAGGCAAAUAACUGAAGCUGAAGGCUCUUUUCUGAAUGAUGAUAAAUCUAGGAGAGGGGCACAGCAGGUCUACGAUGUGCCCUUUGAUGAUGCCGAGGCCACGCCCAGCACCCUGCCCGGCGUCAUGGUGCGUCCGAUGAGUGGCUUUGCCCAGCAGGCCGAGAAGGAAGAGCUGGGCAUGGCGGAGACCUCCAUGGCGGCCGCUCCUGCCCUUCUCUUCCAAGCGCUGCUCCCUGUCCUACCUGUGCGGUCGCCGGUCGCUGUCCGUCGCCUCCUGGCCUGA